CUCCCACUGACCAGCCACUAAAAUGGUGAAAAAUGGGAAAAGCCAUUUUUAUCUCCUUGUUUUUCUGCCUGAUCAGCCUGGAGGAACAAGCAGCAACCAGUGGUAAAAGGCCUUCAUUUUGUUAUAUGAAAUUUUGUGCCCACUGCAGAAAUUCAGUUUGUCCUUUCUGUGCACGUAUCUGCUAAUCUGUUUCAGAGUUGUUGCCAACUGCAUCAGCCGGAGGAAGUCCAGUGGAAGGUGUAUGAAGUAGCUGGGGCAGAAGGAUGAAGAAAAUCAUCAGAUUUGCAUUCUUCACCAGGAUCUACUGCUGUUUCAACCCUGCCUAUAACUUUGGGUCAGAUUUGAGUUGACCAGCAGAUAUCUCCUCGGGAACAUCCCUUAAAGGAAUUGUGCAAGUAUUUUAAGCCCAGCAGCUUUGGACAACAGCACACUAAAUUAGAUGAAGUUUUAGAGGAAGGUUUGAGAAUUAAGAAGCCGUGAACAGCUCCCAUUUUGCCUACUGGUAGGAAGCACUGAGGGAUCCAACACUUAUACAGGUAAAAAAUACAACUGAUGCACAUUUUAUUGAUAUAUUUGUGUGUUUGAGAUCUUAAAUCCUAAACCGGCAAGCAUUACAUGUGUAGGAACACACCAUGUAAGUUUCCCCUAGGGCAAGGCUGCCUUUUAAGGCUCACUAAGAGGAUCCAUCGCUAAACAUAGGGGGAUUUUUUGUUCCUCUGUUUGAGGGCUGAGGUGAACUACACCGAGGGACAUGCUGGUUGAUCUGAGGUGCUUCAGUUUCAGCUCUAGGAUGCCUGUUUCUCAGCACUUCGUUCUGUUUUCCCUAGCUCUUCUUUUUUUCUCCUAUCAUUUGCAUGUUUCCCUCUGCACACGCAGGGACCCACAGGUGCAGCCUGCGGCGGCUCAGCUGAUGCUUACUCCAUUUACAGAGAACUGAGCCUUUGUUUUUCCACUCGUCUGCUCUCACAGCGGAACAGAUCUCUAAAAUAAAGUAGGAUCUUAGAAAAAGCUGAAACAAAAGCUUUCCACCUAGGCAUAGGGAAACCUUAUGUAACUCCUUACGUAAUGGGAUGUGGAGUACUUUCUCAUGAUUAACUUCAGAGUCGCUCAGGCUCCCCUGGCUCCCAACCUGCCUCGUUUCCUCCCGGCUCUGGCGGGGAGAAAAGGGGCUUCCCAGCCCGAGCCCCGAGGGCAGUGCGCCUCGGCUGCUAUUUCUGAAAGCUGCUCCUCCGAUUUAUUGCCG
ensembl:lncRNA